rnacentral:lncRNA from 1 species
GUUUUUUGGGAGAUGGAAGUCUAGAAUUUAUAACCUGAUUUUUGUGACUUUGUGGGCUCAAAAGAGAGAGGUCCAAGUCCAAGAUUUUUCUGUUAUAUUUUAUUUAUUUAUUUAUUAUUAUUUAUUUAUUUUGUUUUUUUUUCAAAACGCGUGGGUUUCACCUAGCGAAGGAAUUGCUCGCCUAGCGAGCAUGACAGUUCAGUUCGCCUAGCGAACCAUGC